GAUGAACGCUGACAGAAUGCUUAACACAUGCAAGUCAACUGUGGCGGACGGGUGAGUAACGCGUAAAGAACUUGCCUCACGGAUAGGGACAACAUUUGGAAUCGAAUGCUAAUACCUGAUACUGUGAGAGAGCUUUGCAUCCCAUUAGCUAGUUGGAGAGGUAACGGCUCACCAAGGCGAUGAUGGGUAGCCGGCCUGAGAGGGUGAUCGGCCACAAGUGGAAUGAGAAACCGCCCUUAAUCCUACGGGAGGCAGCAGUGGGGAAUAUUGGACAAGGGACCAAAGUCUGAUCCAGCAAUUCUGUGUGCACGAUGAAGUUGUCGGAAUGUAAAGUGCUUUCAGUUGGGAAGCGGUACCAACAGAAGAAGUGACGGCUAAAUACGAGCCAGCAGCCGCGGUAAUAC
rnacentral:rRNA from 1 species